CGCCCGCACCCAACACAACCCAAUCCCCUCGUCCCGCACGCCGUGCACACUCCGGUCCCCUCAUCCCGCAUGAACCCUAGGGAGAGAGAGAUAGGAAGAUGAGAGGGAGAGAAAGGGGAGAGGAGAGGAGAGGGAGGCCCGGCAGCGGACGGGAGAGGGUGACCGGCGAGGCGUCGGCCUGCGCCCCUCCUCGCGCACGAACCCUAGCUGAGAGACAAAAUGAGGGGGAGAGAGAGAAGGAAGGAGAGGAGGGAGAAAGAGAGAGGAAAGAGGAAAGGGAGGUGCGGCGGCUGACAGGAGAGAGGGUCAUCGGCCGGCGCCGGAGAGGACGGGCCCGACCUGGACGCGACCUGGAGGUUGGCGGUGGCUCGAUCCACUCCUGGGUCGGGAGCUGCGACGAGGCUGGGGCUCGGGCGCGUUGUACGGGAGGAUGUACUCCGCCUCUUCCUCAUGGUGCGGCGGACGGCGACUCUCCCUCUUCUCUGUCGUCGGCGGCCAGCUCAUCCCACUGCCUCGUGCUCGCCGCUGACCACGGAUCCGCCAUGGACGGAGGGUAUCAAGAGGGGAAGAGGGGAAGGACGUCUUCGCCUUCGCAAGCAGCACUGGCGGACGAGCACACACGCAUGUCCUCUUCCUGAUGGAAGGCAACUCGAGCAUGGGAGUAGUGGCCAAGGCUGGGCACCAUGGGUUGGCCGAGGUGCUUCAUGGCGAGGAACAGGUGCGCCAUCUUCCAAUCCGUCCACAAUUUGAAGCAGCCAGGCAGGGAGGACCAAGAAAACAUAGAUCUGUGAAAGAAGAGAUGAAGAACAAUUUUAGCUGAAGAGUUGAAGAAGACCAAGGUGAAUUUUAUCCCUCUUGCGAAUCCAAUCAAGUUUGCGCUUGCAUUUUGGUGAUAUGGUUUGUGUUGGACCAUGUUCUCUAGCUAUCAAUGGACUUUCCAAAGUAGUUUUGCUGAUUUGUUGUUAUGGAUUUCAUGUUAUGCAGACUAUUUUGCUUAGAGAUGGGCAUGCGCGACUCCUUAUUUGUUUGCAGCGUCGUAUAGGAUAAUAUGAGAUUGCUAUUUUGCUGCUUGGGAACACAUUUUGAGAUAACAUCAGCUCUGUUCUAACUAGCCAUUGUGCUAUCCUCUUUUUUUGGGGGGUUGCAAAUUCCUUGCCUUUCUAUUCUCGUAUUUGCAAUCAAUGUACAAUGCUCUAUAUUUUUACUUGAUGAUGUACAGUUGUUGAUACUUUUUGUUGAGAACAGGCUCUUGUGAGUACAAGUAAAAAAAUAUAUUAAAUGUGAUCGUUGUAUGGACUGUGCACCUGUUCCAUGUGACAACUAAAAUUUGUUGUGUUUCCCCGUCGGUUAAGCUUUUCACUCGAUUACUGUAUGGGUGAUUCAAUCUUAUUUGCUUGUUAUAUGGUUUGGGUAUUCAUGGUUCAUAGGAGGGGGUUUAUAAGGGAAUCAAGAGCUUUUUUUUAACAGCAUGUACAAAAGGUUCAGCAAGUGGGACUCAAGUCUGCAACCACAAUAGAAGUAAGGCCAUGGAGCAAGAGUUCUGUUGGGCAUCCUUUGCAUUUAUCUUGCCAGGUUCCAUGCUUCAUAGCAUGUGUGUAAGCAUAUCAAUACACACAUACACUGCGGUUCGUAACGCCAUUUAAUAGGGGAUGCAUUAGGGUACUUUAUUUCCAUUAUAAACUGAUAAUAAUUAUGAAUUUAGUAAGGUAACAAUAAUAUGGGUUAUAGCAGAAUAUUAGAUGUGGUAUGCUUGUAUGAGUAGAAUGCAGAGUUUAUAAAUGAACUAAAAUCUGAGAACAGGAAGUGGUAGGUUUAAUUUCAGUUAGAAAAUUAGGUGUACUGCAGUAUCAUAUAUUCAGGUAAUCCUUUGCAUUUUUUUUGCCAUGUUCAGGCUUUAUACAUCGUUUGUAUAUGCAUAAAGUACGCCACAUAAACUGGAGUUUGUAGUGUCAGGAGUAAGAGGGGUGCAACUAAGUAGUAGCAUGUUACAGGAUAAGAGCAACUGUUUAGUUUAACUCCAAAGAGGUCAGAUGAAAUGAAUUUUUGAUAUAUCUGAACUCUAGAGCAUAAGAUGCAUCUUUCUACUCUUCCUGAGAUCACGGUUAUUGUGGGAAGUUUUAUCUCUUCCCUACAGUCAAAGCUCAUGUGCAAUUUGGAAAAAAAUGCAAACAUGCUAUCGCUGCAUUUGACAAUUCCUUUUAGGUGAAAAAACCUGGCUUUGUUUUGUUCCUUUUUGUUCUCUGUUUAUUACUGUUUAUUGCUCAGAGUGAUUGUUCCCAAAGUAGUCUUUAACAAUUAAUCAUUUGCAGGUAUCUAACCAAUAGCGGCUUACGUUUCCUGGUCAUUUUUCUUUUGGAAAUGGAUGUUGUUGCUUCCUAGGUGAGCUGAGGUGAUAACUCCCUUCUGGCGCUGGGCCUACGUGUUCAACGCUGCCCUCACCAUCCCCUUCUUCCAUUGGCUCAUCGGCCCGUCAGAGUUCAGAGACCUAAUACUCCGCACUGCCUCCCGUCCAUUUUCAGAUAUAUAUAUUUAUAUAAGGUUUAUCAUCACCCCAUGGAUCAUGUGUUGUUGAUUGACCAGGUUAUUGAGGUGGAGGUCAAUAGGGUGAGGCAGAGAAGUGGAGUGCUCAUAAAGAAACGAAGCUGCUGCCUGGACUUGCCGCUGCCGCCGCCUCCAGUCGCUUCCGCCUUAGGCAUCCCGUCACUAGCAAGCGGGUCUCUGCCAUUUGGCGCAACGGGUCCAUGAGGAAAAGGCGGUCUAUUGCUAGCUUAUUUGAAAAGCGCCAACAAUGUGUGCCACAUGUAAACAGUCCAUGUUCAAAGAAUAGAAGCACAAGUGUGGAGAUAAUGUAAUUGGUUAGUCAUGAAAUUCAGUCUCAAUGAGCUCAACUAAUGACAUGUGUGGGUUGAGCCUGAGGUCAUUUCCAAAGUAACGGAAGUAUUUUACUUUCCUUUUCAUGUCAAUGGUCGAUGGUACUUACA